rnacentral:rRNA from 1 species
GCUUAACACAUGCAAGUCGAGCGGGCACNUUCGGGUGUCAGCGGCAGACGGGAGAGUAACACGUGGGAACGUGCCUUUUGGUUCGGAACAACCCAGGGAAACUUGGGCUAAUACCGGAUAAGCCCUUACGGGGAAAGAUUUAUCGCCAAAGGAUCGGCCCGCGUCUGAUUAGCUAGUUGGUGGGGUAAUGGCCCACCAAGGCGACGAUCAGUAGCUGGUCUGAGAGGAUGAUCAGCCUCACUGGGACUGAGACACGGCCCAGACUCCUACGGGAGGCAGCAGUGGGGAAUAUUGGACAAUGGGCGAAAGCCUGAUCCAGCAAUGCCGCGUGAGUGAUGAAGGCCUUAGGGUUGUAAAGCUCUUUUACCCGGGAUGAUAAUGACAGUACCGGGAGAAUAAGCUCCGGCUAACUCCGUGCCAGCAGCCGCGGUAAUAC